UACAGAGGGUGCAAGCGUUAAUCGGAAUUACUGGGCGUAAAGCGUGCGUAGACGGUUAUUUAAGUCAGGUGUGAAAGCCCCGGGCUCAACCUGGGAAUUGCAUUUGAGACUGAAUAGCUAGGGUGCGGAAGAGGGAAGCGGAAUUUCCGGUGUAGCGGUGAAUGCGUAGAUAUCGGAAGGAACACCAGUGGCGAAAGCGGCUUCCUGGUCCAGCACCGACGUUCAGGCACGAAAGCGUGGGAGCAAACAGG
rnacentral:rRNA from 1 species